rnacentral:rRNA from 1 species
AGAGUUUGAUCCUGGCUCAGAUUGAACGCUGGCGGCAUGCUUUACACAUGCAAGUCGAACGAGACUUGGGGGCUUGCUCCCAAGUUUAGUGGCGAACGGGUGAGUAAUACAUCGGAACGUACCGUGUCAUGGGGGAUAGCCCGGCGAAAGCCGGAUUAAUACCGCAUAAUCUCUGAGGAGGAAAGCAGGGGAUCGAAAGA